UGUGUCUUUGUGUGUGUGUUAAUCCUGGGUCACUCUAUUAGUGUGCUUUUUCAUCCUGUGCAACUUGGGAGUCAUUUAUUAGCACCAUCUUCUAAAUCACUUUUUUUUUUUUUUACAACAUACCCUUAACACUAUCAUCUGAUAUUCUUGCCAAGGACUAAAUCUCCAGACCCGAGAUGGAGAGUUUGAAGGAAGUGCCAAGUAUUCUGUCCUCUUGCAGGCGUCUGUCUCGCCAUUCACAACCUGACAUUAAUCUGCUUCCCACUGGCUCUGGGCUCUUACUUGCUUCUCCAGGGCAAUUUUUAUGACCCUACAUUUUUCUGACCUCAUACCUCUGAUGUAAACAUUACUCUCUAUUUUAUUCCUAAUUCUUUGGAGAUAAAAAUCUCUCCAGUCAUUUAUCUUUACCUCAUGGAGACUUUAGGUUUCUGGCUACCCCCAUCACAUUUCUAAUACACCGAGUCACCCCUUCUUUCCUAGAAAGCCUGCUGUUGACCUUCUUUACUAACUUUGAUUACUUACUUUCUGUUCAGUAUUUUGUCCCAUGCAUUUUGUGAUGGGCUGUAAUUUAUUAAAACCUCAUUACCAAAUUCUACUUAUGAAAAUAACAUCCUAAAAUAUAUUUUAAUAAGUAGUUAAAAAUGUUUGAAUAAAUUAUGUUUUCUCAGAGAUACCCUGAGAAAGAUAGAUGGAUGGACAGUGCUCCUGAUUCUCUCCUUUUCAUAGUGUGCAAAACAUUCAGGAGGAGAAAAGCCCAGCUGUAAAAUCAAGGUUUCCAGACCAGGCUAUUUCUAUUUAUAGCACUGAAAAUGGGACAUGAUACUAGCUAUUUCAGAAAAGCCAUUCCAAGAUAUUCACCAAGUUAUACAAAUAUAGACUGAUAUUUUCUCAAUAAGGACAGAUGAAUUCAAGGACAAACAUAUGAGAUCUUACUUAAAGCAGAAAAUGCCAACCAUGGAAGAAGGAGAGCUGAUUAUCAUGCCUUUGACAGGAACAGUAGCUAUGAAUCACAGAACCUAUUAACUUGAACUCUCACAACCUCUUUGUCAACCUCCCAGGCUAUGAAGAAAUCCUCUUCUAACAUGGCUUGCACUUAGCAAUGCUCUCAGUCCCUGUUCUGUUACUGCUGCUGCUGAAGACCAAGCAAACACUGGUCCUGUCUUGGUGACUCUAAUUGUCCUAAUGUACAAGUGAAGAAGGAACCGCUUUCUUGUAAUUUGCCAUUUUGUGGAUUGAGUUCAAUGUUUUAUUGAAAUCAUUUUGAAAGUAGCACCUAUGCCCCAUUGUAGACCUUCACACUUUAAACAUAAUGUCUUUAUAGUGGGUAAAGUGGCUCAGUGGAUAACAUGCUUGCUGUCUAAGUAUGAGAGCUGGAGUUUAGAAUGCUGGCACUUAUGUAAACACCCACACAGGUGUAGGAGCCACCUGUGUUCUCAGCAGUCAGAGGUGGAAACGGAUUCAUUCUCAGACAAGCCUACUGGCAAGACUGAGAAUGAGCAAGUUCUGGCUUAAGAAGGAGACCCUGGCAUAAUUCAUAAAGUAUAGAAUGAUCUAGAAGACAUCCUAUAUCAACCAUCAGCCUCAGUGUGUAUAUACACAUCAACACAGGUGUGAGAAUGUGCAUAAACACACACUUGCAUGCACACCACAAACAUAAGUAAAAUGUUUCAUAUUGCACAUGUCUUAUCUGCUACACAAUCUUGCUCUCCUCUAUUCUCGGCAUACUCUCUUCUUUGUAAACUGUCCUUCCUUAUUCAAAAGUGCUAACAAAUAUAGAUGAACUUCAGCUGUAAAAUAAAUAUUAUCUAGAAAUAAACUGCUCUUUAAUAGAGAUUUUACAGAUCAUUUAUAA